UGUAAAGUCAUCAUCGCAAUAGCCUUAGAUGAUAACAGCCUACAGGUCAUGUUGCAAUUGGUGGCUUUCUUGCAUCCAGCUCAUCCUAUCCAUGAAGGUUUCCUAGCUUCCAUUCCAGCGGGUAGGAGGGUCUCCUUAGCCUUUAUCUUUCCAUCUCAAUUAGCACUUUAUGUUGCCCUACAGUCUGGUUCCCGUCUUAUUUUUGAGCGUUAGAGCCGGCUCUGUAAUCGUCUGUGUCUAGAGGCUUCUUUUUCCUGCACUGCCAAGGGUGAGCAUAGGAAAACCUGGGCUCAGAUGGUUGUUCUCAGCAGAAGCGCUGCCGUGGGAGAGGCCUGGUGCAGCCAGCAGUUUCGAGCCCCGGGCCACUUCAAGGAUGCAUGCUCAUCAAGCCAGCCCUAGGCGUACUGAAUGGUCACCGCCAAUUGCACCUUAUUUCAAGCACCAACCGGAUUGAGAAUAGCUUUGCCUGAGACAACUUCGUAUAUUCAGACAACUAGGUCUCAUCCAUGAGAGGUCAACAUUCACUUUGGAAAAAAAAACUUCUGAAACACUGAAAUAAGGACUUCCCUGGUGGUCCAGUGGUAAGGAAUCUGUCUUCCAACGCGGGGAACACCACUUCCAUCCCUGGUCGGGGAACUAAGACCCCACACGCCACGGGGCAAUCAAGCCUGCUCACCGCAACUGGAGAAGCCUACAUGACAGAGUGAAGAAGCAGCCCAGCCAAAUAAAUAAACAAAAUAAUUUAAAACACUGAAAUGAAGUUGGUUGCUGUACAGCAUGUGGGAUCUUAGUUCCCCAACCAGGGAUCGAAUUCAUGCUUCCUUCAGUGAAAUCGCCGAGUCUUAACCACUGGACCACCAGGGAGUCCUUGCAGUAACUCACGAGACAGCAUCGCUUUCCUAAACGCAAGAAGCAGAUUACAUGUUGUGCUGUGGCAAACAGGUGGGGCCACAGCAAACCAUCUGCAGAGGGCCAGGUAGCAGGCGUGUCGGGUUUUGUGGGCACAUGGUCUGUCUCAGCUGCAGCCCCUCAGCUCUGCCCCCGCCGUGCCAAGGCGGCGGCUGCGGGCACCAUGCACGUGAAUGGGUGUGUGCAUGUUCCCAUGAGACUUUACUGAUGGACGCUGGAAGGCCCGUCACUGUCGCAGGUCACAAAACAGGCUUCUUCUUUUGACUCCAGCAUUAAAAACAUAAAAGCCGCUCUCGGCUCGUAGACACCCAGGUGUGGGCCAAAGUGACGCGCCUGUGGGCCGCGGUUUGCCAACCUGGGUCUAGCACAGAGGCUCUCGGAAUCAGGAAGGACCUUGAGAGAGCUCUGAGAUGUUUAAUUGCUUCUCCUCUCGAGAGAGUAAAGAAUCAAAUCCCUCCCGAAGGCGACAGUCCACCGUGCCCUGCUAAGAUGAGACCCCAGAUACUCUGACUCCUAGUGCAGUGCACUUCCUACCAGAAGCCACUGCUUAAAAUAAAGACAAAUAGGAGACCAAUUAAAGAGAUAACUGUAACAACUGCUCAGCACAGCGCCCGGAGAUGAGAACGCCCAGUGCCGGCCGUGCGGCCGCCGCGGCCCCUGCAGACAGCGCCUGGCACGCGUUCAGAGAGCUUGAGAAACAUAACUGGUUGAGCAGAAAUCGUUCCAAGAAAUAGCACCGUGACUUUUGCUCCGCUGCUGCCUCACUCUGCUGCAAGUUAACUCCUCGUCUGCCUGAGCUGUGAAACCUGUAAAAUAAAGCAAAUCGACAGUUGCC
ensembl:lncRNA